rnacentral:rRNA from 1 species
AUUGAACGCUGGCGGCAGGCCUAAUACAUGCAAGUCGAGCGAGCGGCGGACGGGUGAGUAAUGUCUGGUAAACUGCCUGAUGGCGGGGGAUAACUACUGGAAACGGUAUCUAAUACCGCAUUCCAUCCGCUGUGCCCAGGUGGGAUUGGCUAGUCGGUGGGGUAACGGCUCACCUAGGCGACGAUCCCUAGCUGGUCUGAGAGGAUGACCAGCCACACUGGAACUGAGACACGGUCCAGACUCCUACGGGAGGCAGCAGUGGGGAAUAUGGCGCAAUGGGCGAAAGCCUGAUGCAGCCAUGCCGCGUGUGUGAAGAAGGCCUUCGGGUUGUAAAGCUCUUUCAGCGGGGAGGCGUUACCCACAGAGGAAGCACCGGCUAACUCCGUGCCAGCAGCCGCGGUAAUAC